GAACGCAAAUUGCACUCUCUGGUAUUCCGGAGAGUAUGCCUGUUUGAGGGUCAGUUAAAUAAAAAUCGGCGUUGUUGCUGCCUUGCGUGGUGACGCAUCGGAUUUGGGUCGUCUUACCUUCGGUUAAGUGACCUAAAAUUUUGCAUGAUUUUUCGAACGUAUUUAAAUUAUUUACGUACGUUUGCGAUAUCGAAUAUUAGGAGUGGUCAUUCUCAUGAUUCGCGCCUAUAAUUUCACAUCAAAAUGACCUCAAAUCAGGUAAGAGUACCCGCUGAACUUAAGC
rnacentral:misc_RNA from 1 species